rnacentral:lncRNA from 1 species
CUAGACUCCUUUCUUUCUUUUUUUCUUGUCUUUUGGCCUCUUCUAGGGCCGCUCCUGCGCGGCAUAUGGAGGUUCCCAGGUUAGGGGGUCUAAUCAGAGCCUAUGCCAGGGCCACAGCAACGCAGGAUCUGAGCCGCAUCUGCAACCUAUGAAAGGAUGAAAAUGCAACCUGACUCUCCCAGAACCCAGGAAGUUAAUAAGAAGCUCUAAAUGCCCUCGAAUUCCGGACCCUGUUCCCUAUAGGUAAAAGAUCAUACUUUUUGCUGUUUUACGGCUUGCUUUCUGCUCUGUACAAAACUUUGUGGAAGGGGAAAAACAGGCCCCUGAGUAUGUGCCUCUAUGCUUGAAACUUCUUGAAACUGCUCCUAACUGCUUGUUUGGCUUCUGUAAACCUGCUUGCAUAAGAUAAAAAGAGGAGAAGUCAAUUGCCUAACCGACCCCAGUAAGAUCGGGCGUGCCACAAAAUGUUGAAAAUCCUGAUAAAUAUAUCUUGGUGACAAUAUGUCUCCCCCACCCAGAGACAGGCACAAACAUGUAACUCCAGAACAACUUAAAAUUAAUUGGUCCACAAAGCGCGGGCUCUUGAAGUUUUGAAUUGACUGGUUUGCGAUAUUUUAAAAAUGAUUAGUUUGUAAAAGCGCGGGCUUUGUUGUGAACCCCAUAAAAGCUGUCCCGACUCCACACUCGGGGCCGCAGUCCUCUACCCCUGCGUGGCGUACGACUGUGGGCCCCAGCGCGCUCGGAAUAAAAAUCCUCUUGCUGUUUGCAUCAAGACUGCUUCUCGUGAGUGAUUUGGGGUGUCGCCUCUUCCGAGUCAGGACGAGAGGGAUUUUAACUCGACUGGGCUUUCAUUUUGGUGCGUUGGCCGGGAAACCCGCGACUACCCCUCACACCCGAGAACCGACUUGGAGCUGCUGCAGACACUCUUCACAACCGAGGAGCGAGAGAGAAUUCUGUUAGAGGCUAGAAAAAAUGUUCCUGGGGCCGACGGGCGACCCACGC